rnacentral:lncRNA from 10 species
UCCGCAGUCCGGCCUGGGCGACAGAGCGAGACUCCGUCUCAAAAAAAAAAAAAAAAGAAAAAAUAUGGCAAAAUUUCAUCUAAUUAAAUGCUUUGAGAACUAAAAUUAAAAUCCAAAGCCACUGGACAGACUGCUUCUUGGCCAAGGAGACCCCAGAGAAGUCUUAAAUACUGAGUUCCUGCCCAGUAGUUGGAAUCUCAGACACCUCUCCUUAUACUCUCUCCCUUUGUGGUUUAGACACAACUGACCAGCAUUAUUGUUAAAAUAGAGAUCCUAAGACUGACAGAACAGACUCCUUGCAGUAGGAAGAUACGGUAUGAUAAACGAGACCUAAGGCCACGCCAGGCAAGGUGGAGUCAUGCGCCCCUCAACUUAAAGAAUAAACUAUGUUCUAAUUGCCACAGGUCUUUUUCUUCUUCCUUUUUUUCUCUAGCUAAACAAGCACUGGCCUUGAGAUAAGCAAUGCUGAAGCACUUGCAGCUCACCCAUUACCAUAAACUGACUGAGCCCUCCCUACACAAGCCAUAACUACAGCUUUGAUUGGACAAGAGACUGAUUUCAGUAACUUCCCCUUGAUAAGAGAGCACUGGCUGUGGACGGGUUCUGGACGGUUUACAGAGGCUGUGCACUUGACUGCCUUUGUGUCCCUGCUUCCCCUUUUGAAGCAUAGGGCCUAAUUAUAAUGUAUUUAAAUGUUGUCUCCACCCCAAAGUGAACAUGCCUGUUACAUGCAACCCAUGUUCAUUUUGGGGUGGAGACAACAUUUAAAUACAUUAUAAUUAGGCCCUAUGCUUCAAAAGGGGAAGCAGGGACACAAAGGCAGUCAAGUGCACAGCCUCUGUAAACCGUCCAGAACCCGUCCACAGCCAGUGCUCUCUUAUCAAGGGGAAGUUACUGAAAUCAGUCUCUUGUCCAAUCAAAGCUGUAGUUAUGGCUUGUGUAGGGAGGGCUCAGUCAGUUUAUGGUAAUGGGUGAGCUGCAAGUGCUUCAGCAUUGCUUAUCUCAAGGCCAGUGCUUGUUUAGCUAGAGAAAAAAAGGAAGAAGAA